rnacentral:rRNA from 1 species
AACGAACGCUGGCGGCGUGGAUAAGACAUGCAAGUCGAACGGGACUAAAUCUGUAGCAAUACAGGUUUAGUUUAGUGGCGAACGGGUGCGUAACACGUGGGCAAUCUGCCGAGAAGUGGGGGAUAGCUCGCCGAAAGGCGAAUUAAUACCGCAUAUGAUCAGUGAAGACAUCUUCACGACAUCAAAGCCGGGGCAACCUGGCGCUUCUUGAUGAGCCCGCGGCCUAUCAGCUAGUUGGUGAGGUAACGGCUCACCAAGGCUAUGACGGGUAGCUGGUCUGAGGGGACGACCAGUCACACUGGGAACUGAGACACGGUCCAGACACCUACGGGUGGCAGCAGUCGAGAAUUUUUC